GAUGAAGAACGUAGCGAAAUGCGAUAAGUAAUGUGAAUUGCAGAAUUCAGUGAAUCAUCGAAUCUUUGAACGCACAUUGCGCCCGCCAGUAUUCUGGCGGGCAUGCCUGUUCGAGCGUCAUUUCAACCAUCAAGCCCCCGGGCUUGUGUUGGGGACCUGCGGCUGCCGCAGGCCCUGAAAAGCAGUGGCGGGCUCGCUGUCACACCGAGCGUAGUAGAUUUUAUCUCGCUCUGGGCGUGCUGCGGGUUCCGGCCGUUAAAAGCCUUAUUUACCCAAGGUUGACCUCGGAUCAGGUAGGAAGACCCGCUGAACUUAAGCAUAUCAAUAAGCGGAGGA
rnacentral:misc_RNA from 1 species